rnacentral:rRNA from 1 species
AGUGAACGCUGGCGGUAGGCCUAACACAUGCAAGUCGAACGGCAGCACAGUAAGAGCUUGCUCUUACGGGUGGCGAGUGGCGGACGGGUGAGGAAUACAUCGGAAUCUACUUUUUCGUGGGGGAUAACGUAGGGAAACUUACGCUAAUACCGCAUACGACCUACGGGUGAAAGCAGGGGAUCUUCGGACCUUGCGCGAUUGAAUGAGCCGAUGUCGGAUUAGCUAGUUGGCGGGGUAAAGGCCCACCAAGGCGACGAUCCGUAGCUGGUCUGAGAGGAUGAUCAGCCACACUGGAACUGAGACACGGUCCAGACUCCUACGGGAGGAAGCAGUGGGGAAUAUUGGACAAUGGGGGCAAGCCUGAUCCAGCCAUACCGCGUGGGUGAAGAAGGCCUUCGGGUUGUAAAGCCCUUUUGUUGGGAAAGAAAAGCAGCAGGUUAAUACCCCGCUGUUCUGACGGUACCCAAAGAAUAAGCACCGGCUAACUUCGUG